rnacentral:rRNA from 1 species
CCUGAGAAACCCAAAAGAUCGAAUGGGGAGAUUCAUCGCCAGCGGUGUUGGCUUCCGUGCGGCUCGCGAUGGUCCGGGACUCGGUCUCGCGCCACGCGGUCGCCGCGGCAUGUCCGGCCUCGUCGGUGUGCACUUCUCCCCUAGUAGGACGUCGCGACCCGUUGGGUGUCGGAUCAAUGGCCGAUCGGUCGUCUGUUUGCGCCUCGGCGCGGCAGACCGAACGGUUCAACGUCCGGCUGCCCGGCGGUAUAGAACGCUUAAUCACGGUAAUGGGCCGCAAUUUGAAUGCGUUCAGGCUCGUCUGCAGGCUCGUCUCGCUCGGAUAUACGGACCUAGUGCCGUUGCCGGGCGCUUGGCGUGGCUGUUAGUCGACGAUGUCCUCGGACUGGCUCUUACCGGUCUGCGACGCUACUGCUUUGGGUACUUUC